rnacentral:rRNA from 1 species
GACGAACGCUGGCGGCGUGCUUAACACAUGCAAGUCGAGCGGAAAGGCCCUUUCGGGGGUACUCGAGCGGCGAACGGGUGAGUAACACGUGAGUAAUCUGCCCCUGGCUUUGGGAUAGCCACCGGAAACGGUGAUUAAUACCGGAUACGACCACUUCUCGCAUGGGAUGGUGGUGGAAAGUUUUUCGGCCAGGGAUGUGCUCGCGGCCUAUCAGCUUGAUGGUGAGGUAAUGGCUCACCAUGGCUGCGAGGGGUAGCCGGCCUGAGAGGGCGACGGGGCGCACGGGGAGUGAGGCACGGCACAGCGUCCAACGGGAGGCAGGAGGGGGGAAUGUUGGCCGUUGGGCGGAAGUGUGAUCCAGCAACGCGGCGAGAGGGAUGCCGGCCUUCGGGUUGUGAACCUCUUUCAGCGGGGACGAAGCGCAAGUGACGGUACCUGCAGAAGAAGCACCGGCCAACUACGUGCCAGCAGCCGCGGUAA